rnacentral:rRNA from 1 species
GAUGAACGCUGGCGGCGUGCUUAACACAUGCAAGUCGAACGGAGGGGCGCGGCGCUUGCGGGGUGCUUGAUAGGCGAAGGGGGGUGUAACACGCGAGUAUCACGCCCUUAUCUUUGGGAUAACUCUAGGAAACAGGGGCUAAUACAGCAGAGGAUCUUCUGCACCACGGGGGGCGAUGGUAAGAGUCGGUGGUUGGGGAAGUACUCGCUGCUUAUCAGCUUGUUGGUGGGGUAGUGGAUUACCAAGGCUUUGAAGGGUAGCAGGCCUGAGAGGGUGACCGGCGACAUUGGGACUGAGGUACGGCCCAGACUCCUACGCGAGGCAGCAGUGGGGAAGAUUGCACGAUGGGCGGAAGCCUGAUGCAGCAGCGCCGCGGGCGGGAUGACGGCCUUCGGGUUGUAAACCGCUUUCGCUCAUGACGAAGCUUUGUGUGACGGUAGUGGAUAAAGAAGCACCGGCUAACUACGUG